rnacentral:rRNA from 1 species
UACGAAGGGAGCUAGCGUUGUUCGGAUUCACUGGGCGUAAAGGGUGCGCAGGCGGUUGGGUGUGUCAGAUGUGAAAUCCCGAGGCUUAACCUCGGAACUGCGUCUGAAACUACUCGACUAGAGUACUGGAGAGGGAAACGGAAUUCACGGUGUAGCAGUGAAAUGCGUAGAUAUCGUGGAGGAACACCAGAGGCGAAAGGCGGUUUCCUGGACAGUU